AUGGCCUGGACGCCUAUCUUCCUUAUGUUCCUCUCCUAUUGUACAGGCUCCCUGUCCCAGGCCGUGCUGACCCAGCCGCCCUCCCUCUUGGCAUCUCCGGGAACGACAGACAGACUCAUCUGCACCCUGAGCAGGGACAUCAGUGUUGGCGGCUCUAAUAUAUACUGGAUCCAGCAGCAGCCAUGGAGCCCUCCCCGGGAUCAGCUGUACUACUCCUCAGACUCCGAUAAGCACCAGGGCUCCGGGGUCCCCAGCCGCUUCUCGGGCUCCAAAGACGCCUCGGCCAAUGCGGGGCUUCUGCGCAUCUCGGGGCUGCAGGCUGAGACCGAGGCGGACUAUCACUGGGCUGCAGCUCAGGGCGCUGGGAGCAGCCUCCUCGCUCACUGCACAGGGUCCUGGGCCCAGUCUGUGCUGACUCAGCCGUCCUCCGUUUCUCGGGCCCUGCGCCAGACGGUCACCAUCUCCUGCACUGGAAGCAGCUCCAACAUCGGGGGUGGGUCCUGGGCCCAGUCUGUGCUGACUCAGCCGCCCUCCGUGUCUGGGGCCCUGGGCCAGAGGGUGACCAUCUCCUGCACUGGAAGCAGCUCCAACCCCAGGGGUUAUGCUCUUUAG